AUAGGCAAACUCCGGCCCUCCAGCUGUUUGGGACUACAAUUCCCAUCAUCCCUAGCUAACAGGACCAGUGGUCAGGGAUGAUGGGAAUUGUAGUCUCAAACAUCUGGAGGGCAGGAGUUUGCCUAU
rnacentral:miRNA from 1 species